GCCGGGCUGGCGGAACAGGCAGACGCACGGGACUUAAAAUCCUGUGGGCCGAGAGGCCCGUGUGGGUUCGACUCCCACGCCCGGCACCA
rnacentral:tRNA from 1 species